CCACGCUGCCAAGAAAAGCGUCUAGAGAGAGAAGUAGUGCCCGUACCGCAAACCGACACAGGUAGGUGAGGAGAGAAUCCUAAGGCCGGCGGAAGAAUUACAGUUAAGGAACUCGGCAAAUUGACCCCGUAAGUUCGCGAGAAGGGGUGCCUACGAGAGUAGGCCGCAGAGAAUAGGCCCAAGCAACUGUUUAGCAAAAACACAGGUCUCUGCUAAAGCGUAAGCUGAUGUAUAGGGGCUGACGCCUGCCCGGUGCUGGAAGGUUAAGGGGAACACUUAGCGCAAGCGAAGGUGUGAACUUAAGCCCCAGUAAACGGCGGCCGUAACUAUAACGGUCCUAAGGUAGCGAAAUUCCUUGUCAGGUAAGUUCUGACCCGCACGAAUGGCGUAAUGACUUGGGCACUGUCUCAACUGUAAAUCCGGCGAAGUUGUAGUGCGAGUGAAGAUGCUCGCUACCCGCGAUUGGACGGAAAGACCCCGUAGAGCUUUACUGUAGCUUAGCAUUGAGUUUUGGUAUUGUCUGUACAGGAUAGGUGGGAGACUAGGAAACCAGGGCGUCAGCCUUGGUGGAGUCAACCUUGGGAUACCACCCUGACAGUACUGAAAUUCUAACUGGCGGCCAUGAAUCUGGUCACAGGACAUUGUUAGGU
rnacentral:rRNA from 1 species